GAGGGGUGGGGACUACGGCGUCUGCAGCGGUCCAAAUCCGGUCGUCCUCCCGCGCCGCGGAACCACGACGCUGCGAAGGACGAUGAGCUCUGACAGGAUGGAGAUUAAAAAGAAACUGUGUCAAAUCUGGACACACAGCAAGUAGCAUCCUAUGCCUCCCACGAGGCAUCAUUUCCAAGCAAAAAUAUUCAAUGAGUGAAUCUGACAAAGACAGUGUUUUUAAAAAGAACAAAAGAGCUGGGGCACAUCCGUUAGCCCGCUUUCUGGAGGAGGAAGCAGAGAAUUAAGGAUUCAAGGCCAGCUUUGACUGUAUUGUGAGUUGGAGAUUCACAUUAAAGGCUGGAACCAGGGAUUUUACAAUACACUGGCAGACUGCUAAACAAGAAACAGACCCUGUAGCCCCUGCUGACCUGAAACUUACAGAAAUUCACCUGCUUUUGUCUCCCAAAUACUGGGAUUAAAGGUUUGCACUCCCA